rnacentral:rRNA from 1 species
GACGAACGCUGGCGGCGUGCUUAACACAUGCAAGUCGAACGGUGAAGCGCCUUCCUUUUUGGUGGGUGUGGAUGAGUGGCGAACGGGUGAGUAACACGUGAGUAACCUGCCCCCUUCUUCUGGAUAACCGCAUGAAAGUGUGGCUAAUACGGGAUAUUCUGGGUCUGUCGCAUGAUGGGUCUGGGAAAGAUAUUGUUUCGGUGGGGGAUGGGCUCGCGGCCUAUCAGCUUGUUGGUGGGGUGAUGGCCUACCAAGGCGGUGACGGGUAGCCGGCCUGGGAGGGUGGACGGUCACACUGGGACUGAGACACGGCCCAGACUCCGACGGGAGGCAGCAGUGGGGAAUAUUGCACAAUGGGCGCAAGCCUGAUGCAGCGACGCCGCGUGAGGGAUGGAGGCCUUCGGGUUGUGAACCUCUUUCGCCAGUGAAGCAGGCCUGCCUCGUUUGUGGGUGGGUUGACGGUAGCUGGAGAAGAAGCGCCGGCUAACUACGUG